AGUAAUGGCGGAGUCGUACCCGGCUUCAGCCCACACGGUCUAUAAUAAUAAUAAUAGUAAUAGGACUGUUCACGCCUAUAUAGCGCCAAUUGCAGCGAUGCCGCUGUGUCUGGACGCUGAUGGUGGUUGUUGUCCAGCUCAAUGGUACUCAUUUUGCCGACCGCGGAGGGAUGUAAGGCUGAGUGGACUUCACCGGGAUCAAACCUGCAGCCCUUGGGAUACAGGCAGUCAUAGACUGCUGCAGAGGAGCAUUAGCCCCCUGCUCUAUCUUGUCAGCUUGAUUAAGAUACACAGGCACUGUGUAUCUUAAUGUGCCCGCCCCCUCCCCUUGAGACUUUACAAUCUCCAUACCUCCAUACUUCCCACCCUACGGUUUCACUGAUUGGGUGGCUGUUCUGGAUACGCCCCUUACAGGGCUUUCCCGGACAAACACACACACACCUGUUGGGGAUUAGAACUGGGCUAUUUAUACCUGGAUCUCAACUACACACAUUGCAUUUGAGCCAGGGUCCCAGGACAUGUGCAUCACCAUGUACAUACAAGUAAGUCAACCUGUGUGAACUAUAUCAAGCCUAAUAUAGUCCUUUUUUUCUCCCUCUGUUUGAAUCUGUGUUUCACUUCCAUUUAUGCUUUUUUAUAUAGGUAGUAAUGCUGCCUCUGAACCAGUGAACCGGUAAAUUUAUUUCACUUAAGCUUCACGUGGCUGUUUACUAUCCCACAUUCACCAGUAAACGCUUUGUGCGUUCUCAUCUUACGGGACUACCAGUCCUGGGACCCCCACUUUACUACCUUUGAUACGCCCUUUUGGGUAACCAGGUCUUCUCUAGGAUUUCCCUUUGUGAAUCCCCAAUUGUUGGUCGCUCUAGGACUUUGCUGGGAGACCCGGACGCUGUGCCCAUAGAUCGUCUCCUGAUGAAGUGAUUAAUAAAUCACAAAACUAGUCGAGACCCGAGACAGUUUGUCUCAUGGCGCUUCUGGCUCACCCGUACCCCCUCCUCAUUUCUGAAGGAUUGCACAUCUGGUGACCUAAUCGCUGUAUAUGUACUGUAUUUUAAAUGUAUUGUCUGUUCUUUUUUUUUUUAUGUAUAUUUUGUGAAUAAAUCUUUCUAAACCAUU